ensembl:lncRNA
CCUCCGCCCCACGAGGCUGACCCCCCUGCAUGCCGUCCCCAGGCCCUCCACUUGCUCAGCCACUCAGACUCGCUAAUCUGGGACAUGUUUCAUUCCGGUCCCUAGCUUGGGGGUCCUGGGCCCACUCAGCGCCUCACCCAGCCUGCCGCUCUUUAGGAACCCUGCACACUAUAAAAGGCUCUCUGUGUGCAAAGCAGCUUCUCCCACAAACUGCUCCCCGAGUGGGUGUCAGUACCUGUAGCUGGCAGAGCGUACCUUUCUCACUUGGAGCAUUGGCCUGGCAGUGAUUGUCAUGGGUCUGCAGCCACUCUGUGGGCCCCUGGGAGGAUGCACCCGGGGCCCCCAGAAGAAGCUCCAGCUGCGUGGCUCCCAGGGCUUGACGCCGGGCCUGGGUUCAGGGCCAUCGCCAUCUGCUGUCUGAACAGCUUCAGACCCCAAGCGGGCAGAAGGAAGAGGCUUCAGGCUGCGUCCCCCCAACACCUGCCAUUAACAACCGCCGAGCUCUUCCGCCCAAGGUGCUCAGACCCGGGUGCCGUUAAAUCCCCCGUGAUGUCAGGACCUCGCAUCACUGAGGCGCCCAGCUCCUUCCACUUUCUCCGCUGGGUCUCCAGAGCUGAGAGGGAUGAGCUGCAUGCAAAGGCUCAUCCAGGAGGUCGUCAGGUGCCUCUGACGCAUCGUGGGAUUUCACCCGAGUCUUCUGCCCCUGGAGCCUCCAUCCAGAAGCAGGCUUAGCUCUGGGGCUGGGGCGAGACCUCCACAUCCAGGCCCCAGCUUGGGGAGAGGGGGUUGAGGCUCCAAGGCUGAGUCCUAGGGUCCCGAGCCCUCUGCCUCCCGCCUGCUCCCGGGCCAAAAAGGAGCAGGCUUGCAGAGGCAGGCUCCCUGGGGAACUCUCGUGUACAGACCAAGAUGUAAAUAAACACUUUGCUUUUCUUGCCUGACUUGAUGGUGUCUCUGUGCUGGGGGAGGGAGGGUGAAAGAGGGGAGGCCUGGUCUCGGAACUUCUGGGGCCAACCUCUCAUAGGAAGAGCGGGCCUCACCAGGUAACAGUCUCCAGGGCAGGGCCUCACCCUGCAGACCCUCCUGUGAGCCUGCUGUCCCUGGGAGAGGAGAUGAGGGUCCCAUCAUCAUCCCUGGUGAUGUUUGAAAACUGUCCUCUGGGCAGCCAUGUUCGCUUUCUCAGCUGGGGCCUCCCAGGGUUUCAACUUGCUCUGGUCACUAGCUGGGUCCUGGUGCCAGCUCCCGCCUGUGUCCCCUCCUGUUCCUCCCCUGGGUCCCAGGCCCACAUCCUCCACUUGAGCCUGGCUGAGUCCUGCCAAGCCUUGGAGGUGAACGGCCAGAGUCCCGCCCUCUCCUUGUCUGCUCCUGGUUGUUAUGCGAUUCCGAGUGUUGACGGGGUUCACAGGCGCCCAGCCUCUGGAGGUAAGUUGUUGGCCCAGGCCCCCACACAGACCCUGGUGCCAUGGGUCUGCCCGGGUGGGUGGACGGUGCCCCAUUCAGUGCAUUCACACAGCCUCCUGGGCUCACGGCAAAGUCAUCUUCCAGCACUGGAAGUCGUGUGUUCUAGACCUUUCCUCCCCUCCAUCCUGCUAACCUGCCUUUCCCUUCCUAACUAGGGUUGCCAGACUACAAGUCAAAAUACAGAACACCCAGUUAAAUCUGAAUUUGAGAUAAUUUUUCAGUAUAAGUAUGUCCCAAGCAAUACUGUUAUUCAUCGUUUAUCUGAAAUUCAAAUAUAACUGGGCCUCCUGUUCUAUCUGGCAACUCGAUUCCCAACUCCUUUGAGGAGCCCUCUCCUGCCAGCCAGGUGUCUCCAAUUCCCGAGCACUGGACCCACACCCCAGUUGCAGAAACAGCUUCCUUCUUGGUGUGCCAUUACUUUUUUUUGAGACUGGUUCUGCCCUCUACCCCAGCCAUCCAGAAGCAACUGCCGGCCUUUACAGAAUCUCUAACCCCCUUGCACCCUGGGGUGUGUGUUGAGACCUGAAGUCCUGAAAACGUGAACUCAGUGUUGUCAAGGAAGCAGAGGAAAGCACAGUGAGGUCUUGAGAUCCAGGGUAGGGACAGGGGGUGUCACUGAGAACCCCAGUAUUAAACUUUCAACGUGCUGAUGUUUCACAAGAAUUAGGCCAUUAAGCACCAACUCUGUGUUCAUGGAAAAAUUCUUACACUUGAAAUCAGACCUCCACUCUCUGACUUCCAUGUGACUGAGCAAGUUAUCUGAGUUUCAGUUGCCUCAUCUAUAAAACAAGGGAAGUUAACAGUUCCUACCCCAGGAGUCAAGUCACCGGAUGGGAUCCGGUACGUACUUGCAGAAUCAGAAUCUGGAUUUGGGAGGCAAAACUCCUCUUCCCCCAAAGGCUCCUAAUCAGAAUGUCUCCUCUAUAAAAUUAGUUUUCCAGCGUGGCUGUAAAAAUAUACCACAAGCCAGUGGAGGGGUUUAAAACAACAGAAAUUAAUUUUCUCAGUUCCAGAGGCCAGAAGUCUGAGGUUAAGGUAUCAGCAAGAUUAGUUCCUUCUAGAGCCUCCACUGUGUACUCAGUCAUGUCCAACUCUUUGUGACUCUAUGGACUGUAGCCUGCCAGGCUCUUCUGUCCAUGGGAUUUCCCAGGCAAGAAUACUGGAGUGAGUUGCCAUGUUCACCAGGAGAUCUUCACGACCCAGAGACUGACCCCACGUCUCUUGCACCUCCUUCACUGGCAGGCGGGUUCUUGACCAAUGUGCCACCCCUGGAGGCUCCAGCUGAGGGUCUACUCCAUGCCUCUCCUGGCUGAUGGUUACCAGCAGUCCCUGGUGCUCCUCGGCUUGUGGCUACAUCACUCCAAUCUCCCUUUGUUGUCAUGUGACCGUCUUCAUCUAUGUAUCCAGGUUUUGCUGCUUUUUUUUUCUGGUUGCACCGAGUCUUAGUUGUGGCAUGCAGGAUCUUCAGUUGCAGCACAUGGGAUCUUGUUCCCUGAUCAAGGUUUGAAUCCCAUCAACUCACCAUCCCCUCAAAUUUAGGGCCUCUUAGAGUCCUCUGGGCCCAGGAUAAAGUCUCCUGAAGGGUCAAAAAUACCUGGAUACCAAAAUCACUUAACCAACAGACUUACUCUGCCGGCUCCAGCUCUGUGACAAGUUUUGUGCCAGGCCCUGGGGAUUUGGUACCAAAAAGCAAAGACUCUUCCUCUUGGAAGGAGAGACGUAGGUGACUUGCGUGAUGAGAGGUACCAAGGAAGAUGUCAAGGCAGGGAUGGGAGCUGGGGGCAGGAGGAUUGAGGCCAGUGGGCAUCAGGGACAAUUUCCCUGAGGACAGGGCAUUUCAGCAGAGCCCUGGAGGAUGGUAGGAUCUGGGAAUCACACGUGGAGGAGGCUUGUGGAAAGCUUGGCCCUUUCAGGGCACUGUGGCUGGGCGGUGAGUAGAGAGGUGGGGCUGGGGGAAUGGGACAGCUGAGGCCAUUCCGAGUGUGGUGGGUCAAGGGUGGGUCUCAUCAUCCAUUAAGCGAGUGUUUUAUCAGCCACCAGCACCUGACAGACAGGGGGUAGGGCAAGGAAGACAGAUCCGUCCCCCACGCUCACGGCAGAGCAGCUUCUAGAAAGGGAGGUUAUCAAACCUGGGUGCAUAUUUGAAUCACCUGGAGGAACUUGAAGCCCCAUGGAUAUAGGGACCCAGCCCAGUGAUUUGAUUUGAAUCUACCAGGUGAAGGGUGGGGUUGGACACGGGUUUUUCCAAAUUCCCCCAGGAGAUUCCAGCGUGUUGAGGGCUGAGAGUCAUUGCAUCAUCAUUCUGGCAAUCAUCUGAUGAAUCAGGGGAAGCCUUAGGAGGAAAAGAUGGAGAUGGCCAGGUGAAGGAGGUUGGGAAGGACAUGGAGAGCAUAUGCAAACAACCAGCAAGGCAGAGGUCAGAGGUCAGGGCUGUGCAUGGCAACCACUAAGAAGCGUCUUUAGCUGGGGGCCGCCUGGACAAGUUCCAGAGAGCGGCAGGGGGACUAGGUUGCUGAGAGAGGAAAGGAGACGUAGGCAGCAUGGACUCAGUCUUCACAUCACCCUGCAAAGGAAGCCACUUGUUCUGUUUACCCACGCGCAAGCCAAGGCACACAGACUCUAAGCGACUUAGACGCCACCACACAGCAAUGUGCAUCAGGCGGCGGCCCCAGCCCAGCCCUUGCCCACCUGGCCUCUCUGGGAUGGGGAGAACUACCUGGGGUUCAGCUGGCGUGCCCUCCCACGUUUUCCUGAAAUGAGACUGUAGGGGGAUUUGCUGAUGAGUUAAUGUUUUGUUGGUUGAUGCAUUGAUUGGCAUGUACUUUUAUAAUUUCUUUUUUGGUGGAGGAUGGGGUAGGCUGGGCACUGAGACACUCGCGCACAGAUCGGAGCCCAGGAGAAUGCAAGGUCUCCCUGGUUUGUGCGCAGUGAGGGGUCCCUAGAACUUAGCUGCACAUUACAGCCUGAGGAAGGGGAGCUUCAAGGGCAGGUGUACCCAGGGCUAGGUCAUGUCCUACUCUUGAUGACCCCAUGGACUGUAGCCUGCCCAGUUCCUUUGUCCAUGGAGUUUUUCAGGCAGGAAUACUGGAGUGGGUUGCCAUUUCCUUCUCCAGGGGAUCAUCCCGACCCAGGGAUUGAACCUGCGUCUCCCACAUUGGCAGGCAGAUUCUUUACCACUGAGCCACCUGGGAAGCCCCAUUUAGGGGCACUGUGUUUUAAAACGGGAGGAGCCUCAGUGUGCACCGCUGAGCUGGCCGUUUUGCAAAUCUGCCUGCAGUGGACCGAGGUCUUCCCGCAGCUGUUGCCCCUAGAGCCUGCUUUCUCUUGGGCGGGUGGUCUCUACCCUGUCUCACUUCCUGGGUCUCCACCUUGCCCAGCAGGUGCCUCAACCAGUUAUUUUGGACGUUUUGGGUAGAACUGGGGUUCCUGGGGGAUGGUCAAGCAGAAAUACAAGUUGGUGACAUGUCUUCCAGAACACAAGAACGCCAUUCAACAAAGAUGUCACUAAACGCCACAGCCACACAAUCAUCCGCUCUGGCUGAGGCUGGGCAGGUGGCCAGCCCACAGAUGGACGGACAGGGAGGUGGCAGGGCAGUAAGCAGGGCUGAGCCUGCUCCCAGGGGCGCCCCUCCGGGGUCUCACUGGCCUCCCAGGUCAGUCGAGGAAUUCAUCCUUAAGGUAUUGCUCAGGCUCCCUCCCCAGGUGCCGACUCGCACGUUCCACUGUUCCACUCGCUGCAUGUGGACUCUGGCCGCCAGGAUCCUCCUUCCUCCUGGCCAGCCCCAGCUGCCCACUCCUCCUCGGGCUCCUGUGAUCCGGAUAGCUGUCUCCAUCCCAGCCCCGGAGACAAUUUUUAAGGAGCUUCAACAUUCUUCUGUCCAGGGGAAGGGACGGCUCCAAGUUGCUUCGGUAGUGACUCCGACUCUUUGUGACCUUAUGGACUGCAGCCCACCAAGCUCCUCUGUCCAUGGGAUUCUCCGGGCAAGAAUACUGGAGCGGGUUGCCAUGCCCUCCUCCAGGGGAUCUUCCUGACCCCGGCACUGAACUCACAUCUCUUAGGUCUCCUGCGUUGGCAGACAGAGGACCGAGGCUCAGGAGACUCCCCAGAGGACACACAGCAAGGAUGCGGCCAAGCUGGGGUAUAGACAUGCAGUUUCUGACUCCAAGCUAACACACAGAGCCUGUGAGAUCGCAGAAAAGCAGCCUUGGGUCUUGAAUGAGUCUGGGGCCCGUCCCUGAUGGCCUGGCGCCUGUUGAGUGGAGGUGUCUGAAGUAGGCAUGAGUGAUAACACUGCCUUCUGGGUACAUGGAGAGAGGACGAAGCCAACAAAAAGGAAAGAAGCAAGAAGUGGGAAAAGUAUGCUGUCCAGAUACCAGUAAGCCGCUGGACCCAGCCAUGCCUGAAACUGACCACAUCUCUGGACUAAUCUGAUUAUAUGAGCCAAUGAAUGCGUUUCAUUUUUUGUAAAACUAUCCUGAGCUGUGUUUCUGUCAUAGAAAGGGUCCUAAG